AAAGAAGUAUAAAGUUUAAAUAGUAUAAGAUGACUUGAAACUUAAAAAUUUUGGCGGUAUUUUAAUCUUAUUAGAGGAACCUGUCUUAUAAUCGACAGUACACGACAUAUCUUACUUGAGUUACUAGUUUGUAUAUCGUUGUAAUAAUAAUAUUUUAUAAUUAUUAUUAGGGGUAAUUUUAUUUUUUAUAUCAGAUCAAGGUUCAGCUUAUACUUAAGUGGAAGAUGGGUUACAAUACGAGAAUGUAUUUACGGAACUUAUUUUUAAAAAGUAAAUGAAGGUGGAUUUAAAAGUAUUUCUAUUAUAAUAUAUUAGAUUGAAUAAGCUCUAAAAUAUGC
rnacentral:rRNA from 1 species